rnacentral:rRNA from 1 species
UACGUAGGGGGCAAGCGUUGUCCGGAUUUAUUGGGCGUAAAGAGCUCGUAGGCGGCUUGUUGCGUCGACUGUGAAAACCCGCGGCUUAACUGCGGGCUUGCAGUUGAUACGGGCAGGCUAGAGUUCGGUAGGGGAGACUGGGAUUCCUGGUGUAGCGGUGAAAUGCGCAGAUAUCAGGAGGAACACCGGUGGCGAAGGCGGUUCUCUGGGCCUGACCUGACGCUGAGGAGCGAAAGCGUGGGGAGCGAACAGG